CUUUUGCCUAAAUUGAUUCUAUAUAUUGUGCUUACUGUAUAUGCCAGAAACGCAUGCUGUUUUAUUAAACCAAGUCAUUUCUUUGUUUAUUCCUAUCCAUAUUGUUGAUGGGUAGUGAAUAAUGAAUGCAGAAAUGUUGUAACGUCACCCUCGAGUGUUCACGACUUUUUACGAUAAAUGAGAUUAAGCAAAUUUCGUUGUCGUUGUCUUUCCACCGGCUAAGGGCGGAAAAG